rnacentral:lncRNA from 1 species
GGUAUCAACGACCCCUCGUUCAAAGCGCAGAUCCAGCAAUGCGAUCAGGCGGCCAAGUAUAUCCACGAUCAACUCGCGGCUCAUGGGCUUCAGGAUAAGGUCAACGUUUUUCUUCUCAGCGACCACGGCAUGGUGUCCAUCAAACAGGAGCAUAUAAUCGAUCUUAACAAGUUCGCCGAUCUCAGUUCCUUCGAUCUCACCGGCACCUCUCCCGUUGUCCAAAUCACUGCCAUCAACACCACACAAAAGAGCUCAUUGAUAAAUAAAACUUAUUCAGAUCUUAAAUCCGGAGAGAAACGCAACGGCCACUUCAGGAUUUUCUUAAGAGAAGAGAUCCCAGACACGUAUCAUUAAAAACACAAUGCCCGAGUCUCAGACAUGCUGGCUGUAGCUGAUUUGGAAUACGGUUUUCAAGAUUUGAUGAAGGCCAUCGAAUAUUACAGCAAAAAGGAAAAGAUAACUAUGACUCCAAAAAGUGAACUUGGUAUACAUGGCUACAGCAAUGAUGAACCAAGCAUGUACCCAUUCUUAGUGGCGUAUGGACCUGGACUGAAACAGAACACAACUGUGCCCCCAUUCAAUGUUGUGGACCUGUAUCCUAUAUUCGCCAAACUACUCCAGCUAUCUCUGCCGCAGAGCACUACUCGCUACAAAUUACGGGGGAACCUGGACCUUAGCUCCGCCUUCGUCGUUCCUUCAAAUAUCUCUGGGUGA